AACGUAGGAGGCAAGCGUUAUCCGGAUUUACUGGGCGUAAAGCGCGUGCAGGCGGUUCACUCAGUCAUGCGUGAAAGCUCCCGGCCCAACCGGGAGAGGUCGUGUGAUACUGGUGAACUUGAGGAAGGGAGAGGCAAGUGGAAUUCCGGGUGUAGUGGUGAAAUGCGUAGAGAUCCGGAGGAACACCAGUGGCGAAGGCGGCUUGCUGGCCCUUAUCUGACGCUCAGACGCGAAAGCAUGGGGAGCGAACGGG
rnacentral:rRNA from 1 species